ACGUACACAACCACAGAUGUCACCAGUCCUACAAGUGCCUCUCUGAGCUUGGUGAAUGGCCGGAACCGGUGUGAGGGGCGCGUAGAGAUCUACUCCAAUGGGAAUCGGGGCACGGUGUGUGAUGACGGCUGGGACAUCAAUGACGCCAAUGUUGUGUGCAGGCAGCUGGGAUGUGGCUUUGCAGUUUCAGCACUAGGAAAUGCCUAUUUUGGACAAGGCACUGGCGCAAUUUACCUGGACGAUGUGCAUUGCAAGGGGAAUGAGUCGUCCCUCUUUAAGUGCCAGAGCAGUGGCUGGGGUGUGCACAAUUGUAACCACUAUGAG
rnacentral:lncRNA from 1 species